rnacentral:tRNA from 1 species
GCCGAAAUAGCUCAGAUGGGCGAGCGUCAGACUGAAGAUCUGAAGGUCCCUUGUUUAAUCCAGGGUUUCGGCA